UACAACAGGCCAUGAAUCAAGAGAAGCGUCAUCCCGUCUGAGGAAGAACUGCGAACGAUUGGGUGUUUGAAGAGAAGGAUCCAAACACAGCUCUCACCUGGGAUAUCAACAAUGGCUGUUUGAGGUGUCUGUACAAACCUUAAUUUGGAUCCAGAGAUUAAGCCAUUACCAGGCCAUUUCCUGACGGACAGUUUCUGCCUCUACAUCCCUGGAGUGACCUCCGUUGAGGAUAUUCUGAAAGCUACUGAAACAAUUGCCAUAAAGAUCAUGCCCACCACAUUAUUCCUAGGGCCGGACUAUCUCCUGUUCCCACAGCUGAACCUGACGCAAGACGAAGAGGUAAACUGCUUCGUUUCCAAUAUGGAACGCCUGUGUGAUAUAUACUCAAUCAUCCUUCCUAAGUCACUCAAGCAAUCACAGAAAUUCAUUAAAAAAUGUCAGAGUCUCGAUAUUGAAUGGGAACUGCCUCGUUAUUUAGGACCUAGUACCAUUCCAAAUCUGGACUCAUGGUGAAAUCACAGUGCCAACUAAGAAGUGCCUGGCGUUGUAGUGUCAGCUGUUCUCGAAGAUGACCAGACCAAAUCUAUAGGUCCCGUCCACAUGGUCGAGCUUUGCCCGACGAACUUUGUUCGAUGUGACGUCAGAAGCGGGAAAAGUCAGAGCCUUAUCUGCUAUUUCUCUGCUUCUGACGUCACAUCGAACAGAGUUCGUCAGACAAAGCUCGACCGUGUGGACGGGCCUUUAGAGCACCGUCAUUUGAGUUCCCUCCAUGUUUUUCCAAGUAGGGCCUUGUUUUUAUUGGUCCUAUGGCUGUGACAACAACAAAACGUGAUUAUCCAGAAAAGAGCUUCUUCAGAUUUCCUAAGGACAAAGAACAGUAGGUGAUUUUUGUGUGCGGAAAUCUCUAUAGAUGGGCGUAUAUGGAUUGUAACAUGCAGCUGAUCAUCCGUGAAUGUAACACCCAUGUUAUCGUUUUUGUUAAAUGUAUUAAGGCAAUGCUAGUGGAAACUAUGAUCCAUCAGGGAACCUUUUGGCGCCCAAAGCAAAGAGCUUUGUUUCUUGUUUAUAUCCCAGUCCAGCACAAUGUUUUUAAAGUACAACGUGAAUUGAUGAGAUAUGUAUACGUGUAAAGUUAAUAGUCAUAGGUUAAUAUACUUGGUACGAAAAUAUAGAUUAUGCUGACAAUUUCGCAUAUUCAUAGAAAGAGUUGAUGAGAUUUUUGUAACCAGAACAGCUACACUUAUAUGAUCCUCGGGGAUGUUGACAGAACUGAUUGAUUUAUAUCAGCAUCGUAUUCCCUCUGCUGUAGCACAUGUAGCUAAUCCUUAGUAUUUAAUGUCUAUUGUCACUCUCAACCUGCGAUGCAGACUUCAUUAUUAUUCUAAAUUUGAAACCCGGCAUUUAUCAAAAUGCCAGGGUAAAAGCAUAACAGAAAAGCCAAAAUUCUCAUGUAUCAGUAAUAUAGCGUAGGUCAGAGCUGGUCAAAGAGUCGAUUGCGGCCGCUUAUUUGGUCGAUCACCGUUCCCCCACAAUCCUGUAUAAUCAAACAAAAGCACAAGUAUAUAUAUAUAUAUAUAUAUAUAUAUAUAUAUA